UACGUAGGGUGCAAGCGUUAUCCGGAAUUAUUGGGCGUAAAGAGCUCGUAGGCGGUUUGUCGCGUCUGCUGUGAAAACCGGAGGCCCAACCUCCGGCCUGCAGUGGGUACGGGCAAACUAGAGUGCGGUAGGGGAGAUUGGAAUUCCUGGUGUAGCGGUGGAAUGCGCAGAUAUCAGGGGGAACACCGAUGGCGAAGGCAGAUCUCUGGGCCGUAACUGACGCUGAGGAGCGAAAGCGUGGGGAGCGAACAGG
rnacentral:rRNA from 1 species